GACGAACGCUGGCGGCGUGCUUAACACAUGCAAGUCGAACGGAAAGGCCCUGCUUUUGUGGGGUGCUCGAGUGGCGAACGGGUGAGUAACACGUGAGUAACCUGCCCUUGACUUUGGGAUAACUUCAGGAAACUGGGGCUAAUACCGGAUAGGAGCUCCUGCUGCAUGGUGGGGGUUGGAAAGUUUCGGCGGUUGGGGAUGGACUCGCGGCUUAUCAGCUUGUUGGUGGGGUAGUGGCUUACCAAGGCUUUGACGGCUAGCCGGCCUGGGAGGGUGACCGGCGACAUUGGGACUGAGAUACGGCCCAGAAGCCUACGGGAGGCAGCAGGGGGGAGUAUUGCACAAUGGGCGGAAGCGUGAUGCAGCAACGCCGGGUGCGGGAUGACGGCCUUCGGGUUGUAAACCGCUGUCGCCUGUGACGAAGCGUGAGUGACGGUAAUGGGUAAAGAAGCACCGGCUAACUACGUG
rnacentral:rRNA from 1 species